rnacentral:rRNA from 1 species
AGCAGCCGCGGUAAUUCCAGCUCCAAUAGCGUAUAUUAAAGUUGUUGCAGUUAAAAAGCUCGUAGUUGAAUUUCGGAAUCAGUAUGUUGGUCGUGCUUCGGUACGUACUGUCAUUACUGGUUUCUACCUUCUGAAGAACCUUGAUGUCACUAAUUUGGUGUCUUGGGGAAUCAGGACUGUUACUUUGAAAAAAUUAGAGUGUUUAAAGCAAGCAUACGCUUGAAUACAUUAGCAUGGAAUAAUGAAAUAGGACGUUUGAUUUCUAUUUUGUUGGUUUCUAGGAUCAACGUAAUGAUUAAUAGGGAUAGUUGGGGGCAUUAGUAUUCAAUUGUCAGAGGUGAAAUUCUUGGAUUUAUUGAAGCUAACUACUGCGAAAGCAUUUGCCAAGGAUGUUUUCAUUAAUCAAGAACGAAAGUUAGGGAUCG